GAGAACCGAAUGACUCUGGAAGAAAUGAAAAUUGUUUACAAAUUUGGUAUAGAAAUGCUACUUAUCUUUGGAAUGACAUCUCUUGUGACAGUAACAUCAAUGGCGGAUACAUUUGUCAGAGUACAAUAGAGCCGUAUUGUGAUGACUUGAAACACAAAGAACAACGAGGAGAUUGUGAGCCAAAUAUUGAGAAGAUUGAUAAAGUGGUUGAUUCAGUUCUUAGAGGAAAUCGGUCAAAGAAAAACAUCGAACUGACAAUUGAGAGGGCACUACAUAAAUUACGAGAUAUUUCCAUCAGAAAAGAAUCUACUCCUAAGGAUUUGGACACCUCAAUAAACUUGUUAAAUAAAAUUGUGAAUGUCUCUAGAGGAUUGAAUGUCUCAAUUCCAAGGACGGUGAUUGUGGCGACAAUUGACAACCUUCUUGCUGACAACCAUACUGGUGUAUGGCAGAACACGUCCACAAAAGAGGUUA